AUUUUCUUGUUUUUUAGUUUGAUUUAACAAUACAGUUAAGUUAAAAUAGUGUUAAUUGGUAAUGAAUAAUCCUCCAAGUUUUAGUUUAGGAAUUACUCAGUUAGAUGCAACUGUACAAGAUAUUCCACUUGGAUUUGUUUCUGCUACAUUUGAUGAACAGGAUCUUGAUUGGGCAGAGAAUCGCUCAAAGUACAAAAACGACCCCGUUACAAUGAAGAAACUGAAGGAUAAGGC
rnacentral:lncRNA from 1 species